rnacentral:ncRNA from 1 species
GGCACCUACGGGGGCCUAUAACCACAGCGCACCUACGGGGGCGCAUAAGCAAAACGGAAGACAGAG